rnacentral:rRNA from 1 species
UACGUAGGGUGCGAGCGUUAAUCGGAAUUACUGGGCGUAAAGCGUGCGCAGGCGGUUCGUUAAGUCAGAUGUGAAAGCCCCGGGCUCAACCUGGGAACUGCAUUUGAAACUGGCGGGCUUGAGUAUGGCAGAGGGGGGUGGAAUUCCGCGUGUAGCAGUGAAAUGCGUAGAGAUGCGGAGGAACACCGAUGGCGAAGGCAGCCCCCUGGGCCAACACUGACGCUCAUGCACGAAAGCGUGGGGAGCAAACAGG